GACGAACGCUGGCGGCGUGCUUAACACAUGCAAGUCGAACGGAAAGGCCCUGCUUUUGUGGGGUGCUCGAGUGGCGAACGGGUGAGUAACACGUGAGUAACCUGCCCUUGACUUUGGGAUAACUUCAGGAAACUGGGGCUAAUACCGGAUAGGAGCUCCUGCUGCAUGGGGGGGGUUGGAAAGUUUCGGCGGUUUGGGAUGGACUCGCGGCUUAUCAGCUUGUUGGUGGGGUAGUGGCUUACCAAGGCUUUGACGGGUAGCCGGCCUGAGAGGGUGACCGGCCACAUUGGGACUGAGAUACGGCCCAGACUCCUACGGGAGGCAGCAGUGGGGAAUAUUGCACAAUGGGCGGAAGCCUGAUGCAGCAACGCCGCGUGCGGGAUGACGGCCUUCGGGUUGUAAACCGCUUUCGCCUGUGACGAAGCGGGAGUGACGGUAAUGGGUAAAGAAGCACCGGCUAACUACGUG
rnacentral:rRNA from 1 species